rnacentral:tRNA from 1 species
GGGAUUAUGGCUCAGUGGUAGAGCACUCAUCUAAUACAUGUGAAGCCCUGGGUUCAAUCCUCAGCACCA